rnacentral:tRNA from 12 species
GGGGCGGAUGUAGCCAAGUGGAUUAAGGCAGUGGAUUGUGAAUUCACCAUCGCGA